GACGAACGCUGGCGGCGUGCUUAACACAUGCAAGUCGAACGGUGAAAGCGGAGCUUGCUCCGCUGGAUCAGUGGCGAACGGGUGAGUAACACGUGGGCAACCUGCCCCUCACUUCGGGAUAACUCCGGGAAACCGGGGCUAAUACCGGAUAUGACCUCCUUGGGCAUCCUUGGAGGUGGAAAGUUUUUCGGUGAGGGAUGGGCCCGCGGCCUAUCAGCUUGUUGGUGAGGUAGUGGCUCACCAAGGCGACGACGGGUAGCCGGCCUGAGAGGGCGACCGGCCACACUGGGACUGAGACACGGCCCAAACUCCUACGGGAGGCAGCAGUGGGGAAUAUUGGACAAUGGGCGCAAGCCUGAUCCAGCCAUGCCGCGUGAGUGAAGAAGGCCUUCGGGUUGUAAAGCUCUUUUGUCAGGGAAGAAACAGCAGCUCUAACACAGUUUGCGAAUGACGGUACCUGAAGAAUAAGCACCGGCUAAC
rnacentral:rRNA from 1 species